ACAUCGCAACUUCAAAAUUCUUAAAUAGAAAAUAAAACUAUUUAAUUCAACAACAGUCAUAACUUCAAUUAAUGCAGCGGAAAGUUUUGCAUUUUCAAUAGCAACAACAAUGUUUUAAUCUCCAACAACAUCUUGGCAUUAAGCCUAAACAACAAAAGUUAGCCAAUGAAAGGGCACAUCAACAAGUUCCAAAAUUUGAUACAUGGAAGGGAAACAACAAUGAAAUAAUAAAAUGACUCCCAACCCACGUAUCAGAGCCCUAGACACGACUCUUGAGCCACCACCGACUACUCAGGAUCACCUGCAAGUUACCCAUAGGAAGGGCAACAUUUUCAAGCAGAAGGGGUGAGAUUCACAACAAUAAAUAUAGAUAUUAAAAUCAUCAAAUGAAUCUAACACCCUAUAACUUCAAACAUGUUCACUUGCAAAUAUUAUAAUUAUUCACAACCACAACAACAUCAUCAUAAUCAUCCACUUAACAAGUAGUAUACAAUGUAUAUAAUAUCAUCAACAUCAACAAUACAUCAAGACCACAAUGAAUACACAUAUAUAGGAAUGUAUAUCAAACAUCAACAUCAACAAUACAUCAAGACUCAUGCAAAUGACAUGACCACUGCUAAGACACCAUCUUAGACUUCUUAAUGAGAUGCAAUUAUGCAUGUGGUACCAAUCAGGACCGAGGCCCUCACCGCUUUUGAAUGGUUAAAGCAUUCAUCAGGACCGAAACCCUCACCGCUGUUGAGCAACUAGUACUCCAGGACCGAAGCCCUCACCGCUGUUUUAUGCAUAUGCAAUGGACCUACUUGUGUAUAUCUACAUACAACUGACCAUGCAAUGCAACUCCAUGUGACUCCAAUUAAAUACAACAUGUAUGAUUCAAUACUUUGCAUACAUUUCAUUCAUCAUCAGUACUCAUCAAUUCAGCAAUCAAAUCAAUCACAAUAAUGUAUAAUUAUACGCAACCAUACUCAAAUACAACAACACCAACCACUACUAAUUAAGCUAGCAAAACUACACUCUGGAACUGGGCAGCUCGCCUCGCGAGCACAUCUGCUCGCCGUGGCGAGUUCACGGAAAACACUAGCUCGCCAUGGCGAGUUCAAGGCGAACUCGAGGCGAGUGAAAAUCAGGUGCUCUCGGGAAAAAGUGACAUUUUCUCACUCAAACUCCAAUUCUAAGCUCCCUAUUCAUCUUUUUAACCUAAAACUUCCACCAUUCAUCUUUAUUAUCAUCUAGGUACCUUAAACCAUCCCCAAAAUAUCUUAUACAACUUUUCAAAAAUCAAGUUUUAUCUGGGCUUACUCGCCAUGGCGAGUUGGACUGCUCGCGAGGCGAGUAGUGAUGUUGUUCACUCGCGAGGCGAGACAUGAAUGCUCGCGAGGCGAGCGAUGAACAUCAGUACGGGCAGAAAACUGGUUUUUCCCCAAAAUCCCAUUUUUCUUCCAAUCACUCCCCAAAUCAGUUUACAGAUGCAAAUUAACUUUCUGUGUGCAACUAGAACCUAUUUCUAACAUCAAAUUCAUGCUUACAACUUCAAAAACUAUAAUUUCAUCAUAAAACCCAAAAUCCCCAAUUUCUACCAAAACCUGUUAAACUCAAAAUCAGACUUUAAAUUCUACAUUAAUGAAGUAAACCCCACCCUUACCUUAGUUCAGAAUGACAAAUGCACAGCAACAGGGGUUCCUCUAGUUCUUCUCUCUUGCUCCUGGUUUUCUCUUCCUUGGUUUGUUUUCACGUAAAAUGAUUCUGACUCCCACUUUCUAUUUUCUUAACUUCCCACUUAAGAGUAACUCCCCCUAAAUACACUUAACUCCCCCAAAUCCUAAUAAUUCCAAUUAAUUCCCCAAACUCCAAAAUAACUAAUAUUUCAUACUUAUUUUAAUUAUUAAUAAAUAAACCAUAUACUAAAAUAAUACACCACAUAAAACAUCCAAAAAUCACAUAUACACGAAUAUAUGCAUAUACUCCACAUAAAUCACCAAACAUCAUAUAUAAUAAUAUAUAUAUAUAUACUCCACAUAAUAAAAUUAAUUAAAUAAAUAACUAGGGCGUUACAACUCUCCCCAAAUUACAGAAUUUCGUCCUCGAAAUCUUACCUCAAGCAAACAACUCCGGAUACGACUCCCGCAUCUUACUCUCCAGCUCCCAAGUCAAACUUUCACCAGUCGCUCCACCCCAAACGACUCUCACAAGAGGUAUUUCUUUACCUCUCAAGGACUUCACCUUCUUGUCAUCAAUCCUCAACGGCAUAGUCUCAACAGUCAAGUUGUCCCUAACCUGCACAUCAUCAUCCCUCGGAAUCACAUGAGAAGGAUCCGCAACAUAUUUCCGAAGCUGAGAAACAUGAAACACGUCGUGCAAGUUCGAAAGAUGUGGUGGCAAACCAACUCUAUAUGCCACUGUACCAAUUCUCUCUGAAAUCUGAUACGGUCCAAUAAACUUAGGAGUCAACUUCCUCGACUUCAAGGCACGUCCAACACCCGUCAACGGAGUGACCCUCAGAAAAACAUGAUCACCCUCCUGAAACUCAAGAUCCUUUCUUCGCUUGUCAUGGUAACUCUUCUGGUUUAGGCAAAAUCAAAACAGGAGCAGUUGUCAAUCUUCGCUUCAACUCAUUGAAACUACUCUCACACUGAGCAUCCCACACAAAAGGUUUACCCUUACAGGUCAACUGCGUCAACGGAAGAGCCAACUUCGAAAACCCUUUUAUGAACCUGCGGUAAUAACCAGCCAAACCCAGAAAACUUCUAAUCUCAGUUACUGACUUCGGAGUCUCCCAUUGUGAUACCGCAUCAACCUUUGAAGGAUCCACCGCAAUACCACUACCAGAAAUAAUGUGACCCAAGAAAACUUACUUCACGUAACCAGAAUUCACAUUGUGAUAACUUAGCAUACAACCUCUUUUCCUUCAACACUUGCAACACUAUUCUCAGAUGCUCUGCAUGCUCCUCCUCAUUCUUGGAAUAGAUUAGAAUAUCAUCAAUAAAUACCACCACAAACUUAUCCAGAAAAGCAUGGAAAAUUCGGUUCAUGUACUCCAUAAAAACACCAGGCGCAUUAGUAACACCGAAAGGCAUCACUUUGUACUCGUAAUGACCAUAACGUGUCCUAAAGGCCGUCUUCUGCAUAUCCUCAUCCUUCACUUUUAUCUGAUGAUAACCAGCCCUCAAAUCAAUCUUACUGAAAAUCUUGGCACCAACCAACUGAUCCAUCAAGUCGUCAAUUCUAGGAAGCGGAUACCUGUUCUUGAUCGUAACUUUGUUCAACUGACGGUAAUCUAUACAAAGUCUCAUACUACCAUCCUUCUUCUUUACCAACAACACCGGUGCUCCCCAAGGUGAAACACUGGGUCUUACAAAUUUCUUAUCUAACAGGUCCUCCAAUUGUUUCUUCAACUCAGCCAACUCAGAAGCUGACAUACGGUACGGUGCCAUCGACACCGGCUUAGUUCCUGGAACAAGAUCAAUUGAGAAUUCAACCUCCCUCUCUGGUGGCACAUCAGGAAUUUCAUCAGGGAAAACUUCUGGAAACUCAUUCACUACAGGUAAACCAUCAACCACAGCUUGAUUUUCUAACGACAAUUGUGCCAUUAGAGAAUACAUCAGGAUACCAUCACGUUCAAACUGUUUCAUCUGUUUCGUAGACAGAAGCUCAACCUCACCUUCUUCUUCAGCAGAAGAGAAAUGUACCGUCUUACUAAAGCAGUUGAUAUGAACUCGAUUAUACUCUAACCAAUUCAUACCAAAGAUAACAUCCAUACCCGUCAACGGCAGACAAACCAAGUCAAUCACAAAAUCUCUACCAAACAUAGAUAUAGGACACCGCAGACAAACAAGAGAAGUGGUUACUGAACCCUUAGCUGGAGUAUCAACAACCAUUUCUCCUUUCAUAUCAGAUAUAUCCAAACCCAACUUAUAAGCACAUUCAAUAGCAAUAAAACAGUGAGUAGCACCAGUAUCAAUAAUAGCAAUUAAAGGAGUACUAUUAAAGAAACAAGUACCUCUGAUAAGUCGGUCCUCAUUAGGAGUCUGUGUACCAGUCAGAGCAAACACCUUUCCACCAAUUCUAGUCUUCUUCGGCUCAGGACACUGUGAACUGAUAUGACCUUCCCCAUAUCACUUGUUAAAAGAAACCAUUUGUAAAACAAAAAAUAUUAUUAUAUAUUCUUGUCCUUUUGUCUCACUGAAGUGGUCAGUUGAAAUUAUCACGUACAAAUCUGGUUCGUAAUAAGAGGUAAUCCAUUUUUUUUUAUAAACCUUUCAUUAUUAUUUGUAUUUCUUUAUUAGCCUUAAUGAAAAACAAGAGAAAAAUACCAAUAGAGGCGUCUUUGGAAUUUUAUGAAACUUGGCUGAUCAUUUCUAUGUAUUUUUAUAUAGGUAUCACCAAAAAAAACCCGCUAAAAUUAUGAUUUUAAAGUUAAGGUUUUCGUUGUUUUGGUUUUUGACGCUUUAGAAAUUGAUAAUCAAUUUGUUCUUUGUCGGAAAAUUCUAAUUUUAGGUAGGAGGCCUUAUAUUAAUGUCGUAUACAUACCUACCUGUAAAAAAGCAUUAAAAAAAUACGACAUCUAUGUCCCUUUCGUAUUAGCGCCUCAUGUGCGAUUGGGCUAUUGGAGGAUUAAGAUGAAAAUAAUCUUGAAAUACAAAGUGGAAUCUGUGUUUUUAUUGAGGCGUAUCUCCAGACUUUGUGUAUAUUAUAGGAGCUAUUUCAACAAUUAACCCUAAAAAUAAAAUAGAAAAUACAAAACAUGGGGGCAUAAACUAAACUUAUGAUAGUAAAAAAAAUUAGAAAGGAGAUUCCUACCUCUAUAAAUAUUCUCAAAAAUAAAUGGCGGGAUUAGAUUACAUUAGACAAAUUCUAGGUUUGAAAUGCCAAAAUUAUCCUACAGAUCUGCAUAAGUAUUUUCUACCCUAAAAAUAUGAAAAUAUAAUAAUCACAUUUUAGCAGUGAGCUUUAUGCAGUUUAAGCAUAAUUUCUUAACAUCCAAGGGAUGAGUAUGUUGUAUUUGAAAGCAGCAACUACCAAAGGCGAAACACAUUUUUACAAAAUAUUAUGUCUGAUUCUUUGAAGAAAAAAAAAUUAUCACCUAUGAUCCCCCACAUAAAAUGCAUUAUGUCUUAUAUAUAUAUAUAUAUAUGGCUUAAAUGCAAUUUUA
rnacentral:lncRNA from 1 species